CCUACGGGAGGCAGCAGUAAGGAAUCUUGCGCAAUGGGCGAAAGCCUGACGCAGCGACGCCGCGUGGGCGAUGAAGGCCUUCGGGUUGUAAAGCCCUUUUCUGGGGGACGAGGAAGGACGGUACCCCAGGAAUAAGUCACGGCUAACUACGUGCCAGCAGCCGCGGUAAAACGUAGGUGGCAAGCGUUAUCCGGAAUCACUGGGCGUAAAGGGUGCGCAGGCGGCUUUGUAAGACGGAUGUGAAAUCCCUGGGCUUAACCUGGGAACUGCGUUCGUGACUGCAAAGCUAGAGUGCGGCAGAGGGGGGUGGAAUUCCUGGUGUAGCGGUGAAAUGCGUAGAGAUCGGGAGGAACCCCGAUGGCGAGGGCGGCCCCCUGGGUUGACCCUGACGCUCAUGCACGAAAGCGUGGGGAGCAAACAGGAUUAGAUCCCCCUGUAGU
rnacentral:rRNA from 1 species